rnacentral:rRNA from 1 species
UAGGGAAUUUUCGGCAAUGGGGGGAACCCUGACCGAGCAACGCCGCGUGAGUGAAGAAGGUCUUCGGAUUGUAAAGCUCUGUUGUAAGGGAAGAACGUCAGGCAGAAGAUGCUUGAGUGACGGUACCUUACCAGAAAGCCACGGCUAACUACGUGCCAGCAGCCGCGGUAAUACGUAGGUGGCGAGCGUUAUCCGGAAUUAUUGGGCGUAAAGGGUGCGUAGGCGGCUGAUUAAGUUCGUGGUUAAAGCGUGGGGCUCAACCCCAUAAAGCCACGGAUACUGGUCAGCUAGAGUACUGGAGAGGGCAGUGGAAUUCCAUGUGUAGCGGUAAAAUGCGUAGAUAUAUGGAGGAACACCGGUGGCGAAGGCGGCUGCCUGGACAGAGACUGACGCUGAGGCACGAAAGCGUGGGGAGCAAAUAGG